rnacentral:misc_RNA from 1 species
GAUGAAGAACGUAGCGAAAUGCGAUAAGUAAUGUGAAUUGCAGAAUUCAGUGAAUCAUCGAAUCUUUGAACGCACAUUGCGCCUGCCAGCAUUCUGGCGGGCAUGCCUGUUCGAGCGUCAUUUCAACCCUCGAGCCCCCCCGGGGGCCUCGGUGUUGGGGGACGGCACACCAGCCGCCCCCGAAAUGCAGUGGCGACCCCGCCGCAGCCUCCCCUGCGUAGUAGCACACACCUCGCACCGGAGCGCGGAGGCGGUCACGCCGUAAAGCGCCCAACUUUCUUAGAGUUGACCUCGGAUCAGGUAGGAAUACCCGCUGAACUUAAGCAUAUCAAUAAGCGGAGGA